rnacentral:rRNA from 1 species
CCUACGGGAGGCAGCAGUGGGGAAUUUUGGACAAUGGGGGCAACCCUGAUCCAGCCAUGCCGCGUGAGUGAAGAAGGCCUUCGGGUUGUAAAGCUCUUUCGGCCGGGAAGAAAUCGCUUAGGUUAAUACCCUGAGCGGAUGACGGUACCGGAAUAAGAAGCACCGGCUAACUACGUGCCAGCAGCCGCGGUAAUACGUAGGGUGCGAGCGUUAAUCGGAAUUACUGGGCGUAAAGCGUGCGCAGGCGGUUUUGUAAGACAGGCGUGAAAUCCCCGGGCUCAACCUGGGAACUGCGCUUGUGACUGCAUCACUCGAGUACGGCAGAGGGGGGUGGAAUUCCACGUGUAGCAGUGAAAUGCGUAGAGAUGUGGAGGAACACCGAUGGCGAAGGCAGCCCCCUGGGCCGAUACUGACGCUCAUGCACGAAAGCGUGGGUAGCAAACAGGAUUAGAUACCCUGGUAGUCCACGCCCUAAACGAUGUCAACUAGGUGUUGGGUGGGUAAAACCAUUUAGUACCGUAGCUAACGCGAGAAGUUGACCGCCUGGGGAGUACGGCCGCAAGGUUAAAACUCAAAGGAAUUGACGG